AGAGUUUGAUCCUGGCUCAGGAUGAACGCUGGCGGCGUGCUUAACACAUGCAGGUCGAACGGGAAAUAUUUCAUUGAGACUUCGGUGGAUUUGAUCUAUUUCUAGUGGCGGACGGGUGAGUAACGCGUGGGUAACCUGCCUUAUACAGGGGGAUAACAGUCAGAAAUGGCUGCUAAUACCGCAUAAGCGCACAGAGCUGCAUGGCUCAGUGUGAAAAACUCCGGUGGUAUAAGAUGGACCCGCGUUGGAUUAGCUUGUUGGCAGGGUAACGGCCUACCAAGGCGACGAUCCAUAGCCGGCCUGAGAGGGUGAACGGCCACAUUGGGACUGAGACACGGCCUAGACUCCUACGGGAGGCAGCAGUGGGGAAUAUUGCACAAUGGGGGAAACCCUGAUGCAGCGACGCCGCGUGAAGGAAGAAGUAUCUCGGUAUGUAAACUUCUAUCAGCAGGGAAGAUAGUGACGGUACCUGACUAAGAAGCCCCGGCUAACUACGUGCCAGCAGCCGCGGUAAUACGUAGGGGGCAAGCGUUAUCCGGAUUUACUGGGUGUAAAGGGAGCGUAGACGGUGUGGCAAGUCUGAUGUGAAAGGCAUGGGCUCAACCUGUGGACUGCAUUGGAAACUGUCAUACUUGAGUGCCGGAGGGGUAAGCGGAAUUCCUAGUGUAGCGGUGAAAUGCGUAGAUAUUAGGAGGAACACCAGUGGCGAAGGCGGCUUACUGGACGGUAACUGACGUUGAGGCUCGAAAGCGUGGGGAGCAAACCAGGAUUAGAUACCCUGGUAGUCCACGCCGUAAACGAUG
rnacentral:rRNA from 1 species